rnacentral:rRNA from 1 species
UACGUAGGGCGCAAGCGUUGUCCGGAAUUAUUGGGCGUAAAGAGCUCGUAGGCGGUUUGUCGCGUCUGCUGUGAAAACCUGAGGCUCAACCUCGGGCUUGCAGUGGGUACGGGCAGACUAGAGUGCGGUAGGGGUGACUGGAAUUCCUGGUGUAGCGGUGGAAUGCGCAGAUAUCGGGAAGAACACCCGUGGCGAAGGCGGCUCUCUGGGACGGUACUGACGCUGAGACGCGGAAAGCGUGGGGAGCGAACGAGG